CCUACGUGCGGCAGCAGUCGAGAAUCAUUCACAAUGGGGGAAACCCUGAUGGUGCGACGCCGCGUGGGGGAAUGAAGGUCUUCGGAUUGUAAACCCCUGUCAUGUGGGAGCAAAUUAAAAAGAUAGUACCACAAGAGGAAGAGACGGCUAACUCUGUCCCAGCAGCCGCGGUAAUACAGAGGUCUCAAGCGUUGUUCGGAAUCAAGUGGCGUAAAGCGUGCGUAGGCUGUUUCGUAAGCCGUGUGUGAAAGGCGCGGGCUCAACCCGCGGACGGCACAUGAUACUGCGAGACUAGAGUAAUGGAGGGGGAAGCGGAAUUCUCGGUGUAGCAGUGAAAUGCGUAGAUAUCGAGAGGAACACUCGUGGCGAAGGCGGGUUACUGGACAUUAACUGACGCUGAGGCACGAAGGCCAGGGGAGCGAAAGGGAUUAGAUACCCCAGUAGUC
rnacentral:rRNA from 1 species